UAGAGUUUGAUCCUGGCUCAGGACGAACGCUGGCGGCGUGCUUAACACAUGCAAGUCGAACGAUGAAGCCGCUUCGGUGGUGGAUUAGUGGCGAACGGGUGAGUAACACGUGGGCAAUCUGCCCUGCACUCUGGGACAAGCCCUGGAAACGGGGUCUAAUACCGGAUAUGACACGGGAUCGCAUGGUCUCCGUGUGGAAAGCUCCGGCGGUGCAGGAUGAGCCCGCGGCCUAUCAGCUUGUUGGUGGGGUGAUGGCCUACCAAGGCGACGACGGGUAGCCGGCCUGAGAGGGCGACCGGCCACACUGGGACUGAGACACGGCCCAGACUCCUACGGGAGGCAGCAGUGGGGAAUAUUGCACAAUGGGCGCAAGCCUGAUGCAGCGACGCCGCGUGAGGGAUGACGGCCUUCGGGUUGUAAACCUCUUUCAGCAGGGAAGAAGCGAGAGUGACGGUACCUGCAGAAGAAGCACCGGCUAACUACGUGCCAGCAGCCGCGGUAAUACGUAGGGUGCGAGCGUUGUCCGGAAUUAUUGGGCGUAAAGAGCUCGUAGGCGGCUUGUCGCGUCGGAUGUGAAAGCCCGGGGCUUAACCCCGGGUCUGCAUUCGAUACGGGCAGGCUAGAGUUCGGCAGGGGAGAUUGGAAUUCCUGGUGUAGCGGUGAAAUGCGCAGAUAUCAGGAGGAACACCGGUGGCGAAGGCGGAUCUCUGGGCCGAUACUGACGCUGAGGAGCGAAAGCGUGGGGAGCGAACAGGAUUAGAUACCCUGGUAGUCCACGCCGUAAACGUUGGGCACUAGGUGUGGGCCGUACUCCC
rnacentral:rRNA from 3 species